AAGUGCCAUGCUCCCCUCCUUUGGCCACAAACCAAGCAUGAUGAUAAUGAUGAAUCAAUUAUCCCGUCCAGCUUAUGCUUCAAUUCUCUGUCAAUUUUUUAUGCAUACAACUCGAUUUUUUCUUUUGCCUCAUCUCCUCAGCCCAAAAUGUCAACGCUUCAUCAUUCCUGAUAUUCUUGCUUCUCCUCUCUCUCUCUAGAUCAGCUGCACUAACAUACCCAAUUUAUCGCAUCGAAUUAGUAUCGAGGAAAUGGGUCUGUUGAGACUGAGAGAUGCCGGGAAGGUCUACAAAUCUGUUGGCGAGGUCGAUCUCGGGGCCAACAGCGACGAAGUUUAUCUACAUCCUAAAGUCAAAGCUCCUCGAGUGGCGGGGUUUCUCGUAAAAAUCUUCACAUGGAUUUUGGAAUCGCCGUUUCUUGGAGCCAUGGCACUGUAUCUGCUGAAGAAGGAUAAUCUAAUUCAUAGGUUUCUCUCAUUUGCUGAAAUCCAAGAACAACCUCUUUUCACUCCUAACCACAGUUGGGAAGAUUUCCAGGAACAAAAUGUUAGUCUCAUAAAUCCCAACUUAUGUCCUAUCAAACGUGUUCAAGAGGUUGUAAAUUGCCUCCCUGAAUAUUUGGAAUCUGCAUUUAGUGAUUCAGCAUCUCAAUUCAAGCGUCGAUCGAUCCGAGAUUUCUGGAAUGCAUACAGAUCAGGAGAAACAACUCCACUUGUAGUAGCAGAAAGAUUUUUAUCAGCCUUGAAGGAGUCUGACAGCUCCAAUCCCUCAAUGGCUUUCUUCAUUAGUUACAACGCUGAAGACAUUAUCAGGCAAGCAGAAGAAUCAACUAAACGAUAUGAAAAAGGCAUACCAAUUUCAGCUAUCGAUGGGGUGCUAGUUGCAAUCAAAGAUGAGAUAGAUUGCAUUCCCUAUCCUACAACAGGAGGAACAAAAUGGCUGCAUAAGAUGAGACCAUGUGUUGAAGAUGCAAGUUGUGUGAAGCAACUAAGAUCAUGUGGUGCUAUUCUCGUCGGGAAGACCAACAUGCAUGAGCUUGGGGCCGGGACCAGUGGCAUCAAUCCUCACUAUGGAGCUACAAGAAAUCCUUAUGAUAGGAACAAGAUCUCCGGUGGCUCAUCAAGCGGAUCGGCUGUGGUUGUGUCUGCCGGACUGUGCCCUGUUGCACUUGGUGUUGAUGGUGGAGGAUCUGUGAGAAUGCCUGCGGCACUGUGUGGUGUUGUUGGACUCAAGCCAACCUCUGGUCGUGUUUCAGAUUCUGGGAUAAUUCCGCUAAAUUGGACAGUUGGGAUGCCAGGAAUAUUAUCAGCAACUAUUGAGGAUGCAUUAAUAAUUUAUGCAGCUAUUUCUAAUGAGCUUCCUUUAUUUCAACCAACACUUUCACAGACAAUCACAGACGUCCAGAUUGCAAAAUAUGGCAAGUGGUUUAAUGACAGCACCGUUGACAUCAGAAAUUGCUGUGAACAAGCUUUAGAGAUGCUAUGCAACCAUUAUAAAUGGAAGGUAAUUGAUGUGACUGUUCCUGAGAUUGAAGAGAUGCGCCUGGCUCACUAUGUAACACUUGGAUCCGAAUGUUUUGCUUCAAUGGCUCCAUAUUUUACAAAACUUGAUUAUGCAGAAUUAGGAUGGGACGCAAGAGUUGCAAUAUCUGCCUAUGGUGCAUUCAGUAGUAGAGACUAUUUAAAUGCCCAAAGAAUAAGGAGACGACAAAUGUACUUUCACAUGGAGAUUUUCAAAAUGGCAGAUGUGAUAGUCACACCAACAACAGGGAGGAUACUUUUUCUACCUUUUGAUUUCUAGUGUAACUGCAUAUCCAUUACAAAGUGAUGCUCUGAGAACCGGAGAACUCGACUACAUUAAUGGCGCUGCACUUGUAAGGUACUCAAUAGCAGGAAACUUUCUUGGAUUACCAGCAAUAACGGUUCCGGUUGGUUAUGACGAUGAUGGUUUACCAAUCGGUCUUCAGUUUAUUGGAAAACCUUGGUGUGAAGCAACACUACUACACAUAGCGUUUGCAAUGCAGAUACUAUGCAUCAAAAGAUGCAAAAAGCCAGAGGUAUUUUAUGAUUUUCUCAAGAAUGAAUAAGCAGAGCAGAGCACAUUUUGCGUUCAAUUGGAAUAAGUGAGACAAGAAGCUACAGGGAUUCCAGAAAUUAUUCAAUACUUAACAAAGUCAAAAUUAACUGUGAAGAUCAUGAAGAUUUGGUACUAUAAAAGAUCUUAGAAAAAUUUGAUACUCAAUUGAAUAUAUAUUACCAUUGGAAAUGUAUACAAAGAUAUAUGGAAAUAUUGUUUUAGAGACUUGGAUGAAGUAUAGCUUUCUUUUUUAUAUUUUAAAAGAGACUUCAAUAAAUGCAUCAUUUAUAAG